rnacentral:tRNA from 3 species
AGUAAAAUGACCGAGAUUUAGGUGAUAAAUUGUAAAUUUAUUUACGGAAUUAUUCCUUUUACUA